CCAAAAUACCAUGGCGGCCAUUCCAAUAAAUCAGAGGAACUUGUCUCAUAACCGAUAAUCCCCGAUCAAUUUCACUUAAUAAAAUUAACUAUUUUUAUACCUCCGUCAAAAUUUUCUUCCAAAAAAAAAUUCAAAAAAUACAUCCAAAUUAAAAAGUCAGGUCAAGGUGAAAUAACAUUCAGAGAAGAUUAGUUACCCAUUAAAACAAUUAAAAGAAAAACACCCAAAAUUAAUUAGAAAAAGGAUUUGAAAGUAUUAAUUAAAUAACAAUUAAAAAUGAAUAUAAUUUUUGGUGUACAUAUCGCCCGUCACCCUUAUCCAAAGACUAGGUAAGUCGUAACAUAGUUGAAAUAUUGGAAAAUGUUUCAAGAAAAAUCAAUACUACAUGUAUUUUCACUUCUAAUGAAAC
rnacentral:rRNA from 1 species